GCAUUUUAGUAUAAAGUUGGAAGCUUUUUAUUUUGAGGAUAGACUGUACUGUUACAUAUGUUUUAUGCAGGGUUCCUCUUUUCCAAGAGAUGAAAUGUUUUGGUAAUUCUUUCCUUGACUCCAAAGUGGGGUGAUCAUCCGGCUGUCAUGGCUGAUGAGUUUGUUGAUGGAACCUCAUAAAUCAUUUUUCAAACACUUUUGUCUCUUGGACCUCCAAAAUCAGAGUAAGUA
rnacentral:lncRNA from 1 species